AUACGGAAGGUCCGGGCGUUAUCCGGAUUUAUUGGGUUUAAAGGGAGCGCAGGCGGAGAUGCAAGCGUGACGUCAAAUUUCGGGGCUCAACCCCGUCUCGCGUCGCGAACUGCGUCCCUUGGUUGCGGGAAGGGGAGGCGGAACUCGUGGGGUAGCGGUGAAAUGCAUAGAUAUCACGAAGAACUCCGAUCGCGAAGGCAGCCUUCCGGCCCGUCAACGACGCUCAUGCUCGAAGGUGCGGGUAUCAAACAGGAUCAGAUACCCUGGUAGUCCGCACAGUAAACGAUGGACACCCGCGGUUUGGCCUAUAUGGCUGAGCCGCCAAGCGAAAGCGUUAAGUGUCCCACCUGGGGAGUACGCCGGCAACGGUGAAACUCAAAUGAAUUGACGGGG
rnacentral:rRNA from 1 species